AUUGAACGCUGGCGGCAUGCUUUACACAUGCAAGUCGAACGGUAACAGGCCGCAAGGUGCUGUCGAGUGGUGAACGGGUGCGUAAUGCAUCGGAACGUGCCCAGUCGUGGGGGAUAACUACUCAAAAGAGUAGCUAAUACCGCAUACGCUCUAUGGAUGAAAGCGGGGGACCGUAAGGCCUCGCGCGAUUGGAGCGGCCGAUGUCAGAUUAGGUAGUUGGUGGGGUAAAGGCUCACCAAGCCAACGAUCUGUAGCGGGUCUGAGAGGACGACCAGCCACACUGGAACUGAGACACGGCCCAGACUCCUACGGGAGGCAGCAGUGGGGAAUUUUGGACAAUGGGCGCAAGCCUGACCCAGCAAUGCCGCGUGCAGGAAGAGGGCCUUCGGGUUGUAAACUGCUUUUGUACGGAAAGAAACGGCUCUGGUUAAUACCCGGGGCUAAUGACGGUACCGUAAGAAUAAGCACCGGCUAACUACGUG
rnacentral:rRNA from 1 species